AAAUUGAAGAGUUUGAUCAUGGCUCAGAUUGAACGCUGGCGGCAGGCCUAACACAUGCAAGUCGAGCGGUAGCACAGGGGAGCUUGCUCUCUGGGUGACGAGCGGCGGACGGGUGAGUAAUGUCUGGGAAACUGCCUGAUGGAGGGGGAUAACUACUGGAAACGGUAGCUAAUACCGCAUAACGUCUUCGGACCAAAGAGGGGGACCUUCGGGCCUCUUGCCAUCGGAUGUGCCCAGAUGGGAUUAGCUAGUAGGUGAGGUAAUGGCUCACCUAGGCGACGAUCCCUAGCUGGUCUGAGAGGAUGACCAGCCACACUGGAACUGAGACACGGUCCAGACUCCUACGGGAGGCAGCAGUGGGGAAUAUUGCACAAUGGGCGCAAGCCUGAUGCAGCCAUGCCGCGUGUGUGAAGAAGGCCUUCGGGUUGUAAAGCACUUUCAGCGGGGAGGAAGGCGGUGAGAUUAAUACUCUCAUCGAUUGACGUUACCCGCAGAAGAAGCACCGGCUAACUCCGUGCCAGCAGCCGCGGUAAUACGGAGGGUGCAAGCGUUAAUCGGAAUGACUGGGCGUAAAGCGCACGCAGGCGGUCUGUUAAGUUGGAUGUGAAAUCCCCGGGCUUAACCUGGGAACUGCAUUCAAAACUGACAGGCUAGAGUCUUGUAGAGGGGGGUAGAAUUCCAGGUGUAGCGGUGAAAUGCGUAGAGAUCUGGAGGAAUACCGGUGGCGAAGGCGGCCCCCUGGACAAAGACUGACGCUCAGGUGCGAAAGCGUGGGGAGCAAACAGGAUUAGAUACCCUGGUAGUCCACGCUGUAAACGAUGUCGAUUUGGAGGUUGUGCCCUUGAGGCGUGGCUUCCGGAGCUAACGCGUUAAAUCGACCGCCUGGGGAGUACGGCCGCAAGGUUAAAACUCAAAUGAAUUGACGGGGGCCCGCACAAGCGGUGGAGCAUGUGGUUUAAUUCGAUGCAACGCGAAGAACCUUACCUACUCUUGACAUCCACAGAACUUAGCAGAGAUGCUUUGGUGCCUUCGGGAACUGUGAGACAGGUGCUGCAUGGCUGUCGUCAGCUCGUGUUGUGAAAUGUUGGGUUAAGUCCCGCAACGAGCGCAACCCUUAUCCUUUGUUGCCAGCACGUAAUGGUGGGAACUCAAAGGAGACUGCCGGUGAUAAACCGGAGGAAGGUGGGGAUGACGUCAAGUCAUCAUGGCCCUUACGAGUAGGGCUACACACGUGCUACAAUGGCGUAUACAAAGAGAAGCGACCUCGCGAGAGCAAGCGGACCUCAUAAAGUACGUCGUAGUCCGGAUUGGAGUCUGCAACUCGACUCCAUGAAGUCGGAAUCGCUAGUAAUCGUAGAUCAGAAUGCUACGGUGAAUACGUUCCCGGGCCUUGUACACACCGCCCGUCACACCAUGGGAGUGGGUUGCAAAAGAAGUAGGUAGCUUAACCUUCGGGGGGGCGCUUACCACUUUGUGAUUCAUGACUGGGGUGAAGUCGUAACAAGGUAACCGUAGGGGAACCUGCGGUUGGAUCACCUCCUUACCAAGAAG
rnacentral:rRNA from 1 species